GAAAUGCGAUACGUAAUGUGAAUUGCAGAAUUCAGUGAAUCAUCGAAUCUUUGAACGCAACUUGCGCUCCUUGGUAUUCCAUGGAGCAUGCCUGUUUGAGUGUCACGUAAACCCUCACCCUUGCGAUGUUAAAGUCGUCUUGUGGUGGAUUUGGAUUGUGCCGUAAUUGGCUCAUCCUGAAAUGCAUUAGCUUGCGCUUUUUACAGUGCUCGGCAUGGUGUGAUAAUUAUCUGCGCCGUCGCCUUAGGCCUGUUCUAUAUGUGCAGCUUCUAAUCGUCCCUUGUGGACAACUUUACUUAACGCUUUGGCCUCAAAUCAGGUAGGAUUACCCGCUGAACUUAA
rnacentral:misc_RNA from 1 species